GUGUUCACUUAGGCGGCACAUAUAUUAAAAUUGGAACGAUACACAGAAGAUUAGCAUGGUCCCUGCGCAAAGAUGACACACAAAUUUGUGAAGCAUUCCAUAUUUAA